GGCGCGAGACGGAGCCGCGGGUCCGCAACCGCCUUCCGCACACGGACGCUGCCGACGCGCAUGAGCUGGUGGAGGCGACCAAGAGCGGCGGCGGGCGCUGGCGAGAUCCGAAUCGAGUGGGGGUGAGAUUCAUAGGAGAGGAUGAGCGAGAAGGGCUCUGUUGUUGUUUUUUUCUUUUUUGGGUAGUACGUGUUUUUUCUGCGCUUGAGGACCGCGGGAGCCGGGAUUAAAAGACGCGUGAGGACAGCGGUGGCAGAUUCGUAAUUUUAGUGAAGUGACGUACCGCGACGCCCGUAUCAUCACCACCAUCUCCAAUUUAAUAUAUUGGUACAGAUAUCCGACGGCCACAAUCAUCAUCGAUAUCCAUAAUGGCUUUAUGGAGCGCGUGAAGAGCUAUCUUGUUAACCUGGAUUCCAAGGUUCACACAGAAUUUCAGGAUUUAGCUCCGUAGAUCCAACUGGAAAAUGGAUGUUAAAGUCAACAGAUAUAACAGUAAUAGAGCAGCACAAAAAUUGGCAUAGUGUUGAUUAUUUCGAUGUAAAUGGAUACAUCAUGGGAGUAAUGAGAAAACAAUUGCCAGACCUCUAGUCUAUCUUCAUUCAUCAUAUGCCGUCCUGGAAGCUGCCAAAUUCUUCUCUCAACUUUAUGCACUCGUUCAGAUUUUCCGGAGAAACAAAGUUAAGUGCAACCUUUAUACAUGACUGCCCA
rnacentral:lncRNA from 1 species